rnacentral:lncRNA from 1 species
UGGUAAAUUGUGAACACUGUUCAUCAUGUCAAUUACAAAGGGAAUCACCGACGGAAAAUUCCGUCGGUAUUUUCCAGAGAGCUCCAGAACUGUUCACUUUUCAAUUGCACUGUUAAUUGUUGUUCUUUACGGACAAAAUCACCGACGGAUUGAAAAGUCAUCGGUGUUAUUUGGCGGUUUUCUGAAAAAAUUCAAUUAAUUUAAAAUUUUCAUUUAAAUAUUACAGACGAAAUCACCGACGGAUUGAAAAAUCGUCGGUAAUUGUUGGCGGUUUCUGAAAACUUUUUAUAAAAUUGAAAAUUUAAAUUAAAUAUUACCGAUGGAAU